rnacentral:rRNA from 1 species
CCCUUAGAUGUUCUGGGCCGCACGCGCACUACACUGACGGAUUCAACGAGCUUACAACCUUGGCCGAAAGGUCUGGGUAAUCUCCAAAAUCCGUCGUGAUGGGGAUAGAUUAUUGCAAUUAUUAAUCUUCAACGAGGAAUGCCUAGUAAGCGCAAGUCAUCAGCUUGCGUUGAUUACGUCCCUGCCCUUUGUACACACCGCCCGUCGCUCCUACCGAUUGAAUGGUCCGGUGAAGCGUUUGGACUAUGGUUUUCUGAUGGUCCGCCGUUGGAUUACCGUGGGAAGUUCGUUAAACCUUAUCAUUUAGAGGAAGGAGAAGUCGUAACA